GGCGUGGUAGCAAAGUGGUUACUGCGAUUGACUAGAAACCGUCAACCCAUUGACGGUAGAAAUCAAUUCCCUUCGGGGGCGUAGGUUCGAAUCCUGCCCACGUCG